GAAACUACUGUACCCCAAUCUCAUAUCUCAUGGAGUGGAUGUGGAGGCUCCUUUUCCUGCUGGCAGCUGCCCAAAGUGUCCAAGCACAGGUUCAGCUGGUGCAGUCAGGCUCUGAGCUGAAACAGCCUGGACAGUCAGUGAAGAUCUCCUGCAAGGCUUCAGGGUACACCUUCACAAGCUAUGGAAUGAACUGGGUGAAGCAGGAACCAGGACAGGGCCUGAAGUGGAUGGGCUGGAUCAACACCAACACUGGGAAUCCAACAUAUGCUGAGGACUUCAAAGGUCGGUUUGUCUUCUCUUUGGACACUUCGGUCAGCACUGCGUACCUGCAGAUCAGUAGCCUCAAGAAUGAAGACACGGCCAUGUAUUACUGUGCAAGACACACAGUGUGAAAACCACAUCCUGAGGGUGUCAGAAACCCUGACGGAAGUAUCUUGUUAAACGGGAGGUCCCCAGCCACGGCACAGGAGGUCCCCAGCAGCAGCACGGAUGGACAGCUGCAGAACCAGGAGACGGCAGAACGUCGUUCCAGGACCUCCACCAUCAUCCCCAGAUUUCACAAGCAUCUCAUUGUCAAUGGAAAAAUCAUUUCCAUUGAACAAUUAUUUGUGUGA